ensembl:lncRNA
GUUUUAAGUUUAUAUCAGAGGCGGGGCGGUGAGAAGAGUGCGAGACUCUGAUUGGACACUUUUACGCCGUGACAGCUCUCUCUCUCUCUCUCUCCCUCCCUCUGAUAUAAUCUUUUUUUUCCCUUUCGGGUUUGUAUGGAAGGAAUGGUAAGUGAAGGAGGGCAACGAGAGAAAGGCGCGAGGACCCGCCCCUGUGUUUUCCACACGGCCCUCCCCUCGCGGCCUUUGUGGGCGUGGCCAAGGAGCUGUCAGGACUUCAGGGCGCCCAAUCAGAAUCCGCGCCUUUCUCGGCCCCGCCUCCGAAAGAACUGGCGCAAAAGGUGGUGGUGUGGAAGGGAAGGCACGCAGGCAGGCGGAGAGGUGGCGGCCCCGCUUUUCCACACGGCCCUCCUCGGCUCGCCUUCUUUCCUUUCCACCCGGCACCUGCUCCCCCCUCGCCGCGCCUUGGAAUCGCGGAAGGAAAGAAGGCUUUCGUAGCUGGAAUCACUGGGUGCAAAAAGAAUCUGCGAACCCCACCUCCUCCAAGGUGAACUGAACCACCUAAAUGGGGCUCUACAGGCCAAUGGAUCCUCCACCACAGACAUCAGAAGAGCUGCAAGACCAAGAACAAGCCUGGAGAGAAAAGACAAGGAUCCAUCCAGAGGAAAAGUGUUCUUACCAUGCAUGAAGGGAACCACUGACUGCAUAGGAAAACUGACAAAGAAACACAACCUACAAGCUAUCUACACCAAGAAAAUCCAACAAAUAUUACAUUCAGCAAAGGACAAGAGGGAUCCUCUCACCUCUGCAGGAGUCUACCAUAUACCAUGCAGCUGUGGACAAGUCUACAUAGGGACCUCCAAAUGCAGCAUUGCCCAAAUAAUAUAAUAAUAAUAAUAAUAAUAAUAAUAAAACUUUAUUUAUACCCCGCCACCAUGUCCCCGACGGGGACUCGGGGCGGCUUACAUGGGGCCAUGCCCAGAACAAUACAAUAUAACAGAAUAUAAAAGAACAACACAUCAUAAUACAUUGAACAAUACAAUAAAUAAUAAUAUACAUUACAACAUAUCAAAGAACAUGAAAGGCACUCCAGACUAACUCAACCAGAGAAGUCGGCCAUAGCAGAGUACUUCAUGAACCAACCUGGACGCAGCAUAUUAUUUGAAAACACAGAAAUGCUGGACCACUUUAACAAGCACCAUGGCAAACUACACAGAGAAGCCAUUGAAAUCCAUAAGCAUGUGGACAAUUUCAACAGAAAGGAGGUAACCAUGAACAUGAACAAAUUCUGACUACCAGUAUUUAAAAACUAAAAUCAGAACAGUAAAUAAAGAACAACACUCUGAAAAUUGGAAAUUUCAGACAGGAAUCAAUAAAAACAGACAGACAGCUAACACAAAGUAUUCUUCCAGGCAGGAAUCAGCCAGGCUUUGAAGCUACAAGGCUAUUCAGUGCUAAUCAAAGUGGCCAGUUGCAACAUGCCCACUUGCCUCCAUCAGACAAGGGUGCUUUCUCCCACCCUGGACCUUCCACAGUUUCCAACAUACCUCACAACCUCUGAGAAUGCCUUCCAUAGAUGUGGGUGAAAUGUCAGGAGAGAAUGCUUCUGGAAUAUGGCCAUACAGCCACCCAGUGAUUCCGGCCAUGAAAGCCUUUGACAACCCAUUUUAUACAUUUAUAUCCCAUUUUGCUCCUGGCUUGUUAAAUGCCAUCAGUAGAAUUAAUAUAUUUAUUUUCAAUAUCGUAAGGAGCUGCUGGUGGUGCAGUGGGUUAAACCCUUGUGCCACCAGGACUGAUAACUUCAAGGUUGGGUUGCUGACCUGACGGUUGCCAGUUCGAUUCCAGCUCAGCGAGAGCGUGGAUGAGCUUCCUCUAUCAACUCCAUCUCCAUGCGUGUACAUGAGAAAAGCCUCCCACAAGCAUUUUAAAAACAUCAAAACAUCCAGGCAUCCCCUGGGCAACGUCCUUGCAAACGGCCAAUUCUCUCACACCAGAAGUGGCUUGCAGUUUCUCAAGUUGCUCCUGACACAAAAAAAAAAUCAAUAUCGUGAAACCAAUAUUAGUGUUAUUUUAUACAUUUAUAUCCCAUCUUGCUUCUUGCAUAUUAAAUAUAAAUAUAGUAAAUAUGCUCAUUAACAUAUUAAACCAAUAUUACUGUUUUUUUUAAUACAUUUCAAUCCAAACUUUCUCCAGAUCAUGGAUCUCUCAAGGCAGCUAUCAUGAAGUCACUCAAAAUAGCUAUUAACAUAUUAAAAACAUUGCAAAAACCAGAAUAGUACAUAGAUUCAACCACCCACAGCUUGAAAAUAGACCAAAAUUCUAAAAAAAAUCUCCCUAGCAUUAUUCUUGUUGUAAUUACUAUUAUUUUAUUCAUUUAUAUCCCACAUUUCUUUAAACCAUAUGUCUCCCAAAGCAGCUGUUCUUGUAUGAUUUUAAACAUGUUGACAAUAUAAAAACCACAAUAAAAGUAGUCAGCCCUCCAUAGAUUCUGUGUCCAUUGAUUCAUCUAUUCAUAGUUUGAAAAUAUCGAAAAUUCUCAAAAUUCCUUAUUAUUGCUGCUGCUGCUGCUAUUAUUACUGUUUUAUUCAUUUAUAUCCCACCUUUCUCCAGAUCAUAUGACUCUCAAGGCAGCUAUCAACAUACUGAAAAUAUUACUACUAUUUGAUUAAUUUAUAUUCCAGCUUUCUCCUGAUCAUAAGUCUCUCAAAGUAGUUAUUGACAUAUUCAAAAGAAUAUGUUAAAAACCAUACAAAAAUCAGAAUAAAAGUACAGUAAGCCCUCCAUGGAUUUGAUAUCCAUAGAUUCAACCAACCACAGCUCGAAAGUAUUUCCUUCAAAAAAUUCCAAAGCUCAUAAUUAGUGUUAUGAAUACUAUUAUUAUUUUAUUCAGUUAUAGUCCACCUUUCUCUUGAUCAUAGGUCUCUCAAGGUGGCUAACACCAUAUUCAAAACAAUUCAACACAAAAAUCAAAAUAGAAGCACAGUCGGCCCUCCGUGGAUUCUGUAUCCAUAGAUUCAACUCACUGUGGCUCGAUGCAGCAUCAUCACACUUGGAUAAAGAAGGACGAAGACCGUGUAAAACUACAACUCCCAACUAUUCCAUAGCAGUGAAAGUAGUGUCAAACAGAAUCCAUUCUACAGUGUAGAUGCAGCCUUAGGGCAAAGGUGGCUCUCUAGAUAUUGUUGGACUGAGCUGCUAUCAUCACUAGUCACUCAUCGUAGCCCUUGGUGAGAGAUAACAGGAACUGCAGAGAUAACAGGAACUAGAAUAGUGGAAUACUGUGUCCAAUUCUGGGCACUGCAGCUGAAGGGAGAUGUUGACAAGCUGGAAUGUG